GACGGAGGAUGCAAGCGUUGUCCGGAAUUAUUGGGCGUAAAGAGCUCGUAGGCGGUCUGUCGCGUCUGCUGUGAAAACUCGGGGCUUAACUCCGGGCCUGCAGUGGGUACGGGCAGACUAGAGUGCGGUAGGGGAGACUGGAAUUCCUGGUGUAGCGGUGAAAUGCGCAGAUAUCAGGAGGAACACCGGUGGCGAAGGCGGGUCUCUGGGCCGUAACUGACGCUGAGGAGCGAAAGCGUGGGGAGCGAACAGG
rnacentral:rRNA from 1 species